CAGCAGCCGCGGUAAUACGGAGGGUGCAAGCGUUAAUCGGAAUUACUGGGCGUAAAGCGCACGCAGGCGGUCUGACAAGUCAGAUGUGAAAUCCCCGGGCUUAACCUGGGAACUGCAUUUGAAACUGUCAGGCUGGAGUCUUGUAGAGGGGGGUGGAAUUCCAGGUGUAGCGGUGAAAUGCGUAGAGAUCUGGAGGAAUACCGGUGGCGUAGGCGGCCCCCUGGACAAAGACUGACGCUCAGGUGCGAAAGCGUGGGGAGCAAACAGGAUUAGAUACCCGGGUAGUCCCUGUCUCUUAUAC
rnacentral:rRNA from 1 species